rnacentral:lncRNA from 1 species
UAGGUCAUUCCCACUCAUACCAUGAUCUCCCAGUGGUGUACUCAUUCACCAAAUCACAUGUGUUUCUCGGGCGUCGUUUUUGCCAAUGACAUACCGAUCACCGACACCGUGCGUUCUUUAAGGCGCCGUUUUCACCAGUGAUAUCCUCGAUCACCGAACCACGUGUCCUUUCUAAGGCGCCGUUUUCGCCAAGGUGACAUCGGCUAUAGACAACAUCGUGAGUUCUUUAAGGCAUCAUUUUCACCAGUGAUAUUUCCUUAAUCACUGAACCACGUUUGUCUAUAAGUCAUUUACGUGCGUCCUUUAUGGUGUCGUUUUCGCGAGUGAUACUUCCAAUCACCGAACCACGUAUGUCCAAUAAUAUCGUACCUGAUUGGUCUCAAGCAAUAAUGUUCUCAGUUAGCUCUCACCAUUCUCCCUACUAUAUAGCCCAUCAACGUACUGGCGCUAUAUACCCAUGCUCGGCCAUUACCAAUCAAAUAUUCAAUAACAAACAAUUUAGGACAAUUCCUCAAAU